rnacentral:snoRNA from 1 species
GCACGGCCGAAUUCUGCGCUAGCGUUCCUCGGUGGCUAGUGCAGUCAGACACCGUGCCAGAACAGAUCCCUUCUCCACGCUGCCGGCUGUGCUCUCGUUUGCGCAGGGACAUGCCUCUGGAAGCGGGGUACAGAG